rnacentral:lncRNA from 1 species
CCCCUUUGGCAAUCAUUAUUUCACCUGACCGUUUGAUCUUUUUUUUUCAACAUCUUGAACAUGGGUUCACACAUGGCUGUUAGAUGAGAUGUGAACCAUGACAGAUAGUUCAAUCUUUCUAAGAAGCCACGAACCUCUUUUUUCUUUCUUUUUCCUCGGUUCAGGCGUUUUUUUUUUUUUUUUUUUUUUUUUUGCAGGAUGAACCUCGAUUCCUCCCUUACAACGAACCCCAACAGCUUACCGGACCGCACUCUGAUAGUGCACUUACUUGAAUUCAACCUCAGUUUGAAUCGUCUCAACCGGUCAAACGACUUGGCCCGGUUUGCCAGAUGCCCCUCUUCCGUUUGGGACUUUGCUAUCAUGUCAUAGCAUAGCAUUU